rnacentral:rRNA from 1 species
UGGGGAAUAUUGGACAAUGGGGGGAACCCUGAUCCAGCCAUGCCGCGUGUGUGAAGAAGGCCUUAUGGUUGUAAAGCACUUUAAGCGAGGAGGAGGGUACUGGUAUUAAUACUACCAGCUACUGGACGUUACUCGCAGAAUAAGCACCGGCUAACUCUGUGCCAGCAGCCGCGGUAAUACAGAGGGUGCGAGCGUUAAUCGGAUUUACUGGGCGUAAAGCGUGCGUAGGCGGCUAAUUGAGUCGGAUGUGAAAUCCCCGAGCUUAACUUGGGAAUUGCAUUCGAUACUGGUUAGCUAGAGUGUAGGAGAGGAUGGUAGAAUUCCAGGUGUAGCGGUGAAAUGCGUAGAGAUCUGGAGGAAUACCGAUGGCGAAGGCAGCCAUCUGGCCUAACACUGACGCUGAGGUACGAAAGCAUGGGGAGCAAACAGG